rnacentral:rRNA from 1 species
UACGGAAGGUCCGGGCGUUAUCCGGAUUUAUUGGGUUUAAAGGGAGCGCAGGCGGGCUUUUAAGCGUGACGUGAAAUGUGGAUGCUCAACGUCUGAACUGCGUCGCGAACUGGGGGCCUUGAGUGAGUGCGACGUCGGCGGAAUUCGUGGUGUAGCGGUGAAAUGCUUAGAUAUCACGAAGAACUCCGAUUGCGAAGGCAGCCGACGAGUCCUUUACUGACGCUAAAGCUCGAAAGUGCGGGUAUCGAAC